GCAGCAGAGGUUUUGCUGGUUUCAGACCCCAGCGGCCAGAUGGUGAAAUCCUCCCUGCAGCGGAUCCUCAACAGCCAGUUUGGCCAGAGAGAAAGAAGGGGAUAAACCCAGGGCCACAGUCCUCACCAGCCACACCAUGCCACUCCUCAGCUUGCACAGCCGCGGUGGCCACGGCAGCGAGAGUUCCAGGGUCUCUUCCAAUUGCUGUAGUAACUUGGGUCCAGAGCCUCGGUGGUGCACCUGAUGCCCCUCGCCUGCCCCUGAAGAUCCCAGGUGGGCGAGGGAAUAUCAGAGGGAUCACAAUCUUUCAGCUAAUUUAUUUUACUCUGAUAAUCGGCUGAACUAGUGUCUAACGACAAAACGAAAGACGAGAAUUCUUAAUGUCCAGUCCAGGCUCACAGAUGCCAAACACAUCACCUGGAGGGCUGUGCUCAGCAGGAGCAGCCUCUACGUUGAGCUCCCAGGUGGUGCCCUGCCGGAAGGGAGCAAAAACAGUCUGGCAGUUCUCUUUGAGUGUGCUGAGGAGCAGCUCCGCAUGGACGUCUUCAAAUGCUUCCAUAGAAACCAAGAUGACAGAGCCGCCUUGGUCCGGGACCUUCAGCUUUCUAGGCUUUGAGACUGUGAGACCAGGGCAUCCCCUUGUCCCCAAGAAACCCGAUGCCUGCUUCAUGGUCUACACGCUUGAGAGAUUCCUCCGGGAAGGACUAGUGGUCCCAGCCGCCAUCACAGGAAGCCUGGUCACCCUAGGUGUCCCUCCUUCCUGGGUGUGUCCGCAUGUUGUAAUUGUGCAAGUAAAUGCUCACUCCAAAUUAGCAGUAUAUUUCUUGAAGUUUAAUAUUGUGUUUGUGAUACUGAAGUAUUUACUUUAA